rnacentral:misc_RNA from 1 species
AAGGACUGGUUUCAAAAGCUCAAGCAAUGAUGAAAAUAAUGAUCCAAAAAGGCGUGAAGCCUGAUGUUAUCACCUACAAUUUAUUGAUGGACGGAUUUUUCUGUGUAAUCAAAUGGAUGAAGCUACAAAAUUAUUUGAUCAAAUGGUAAGUGGUGGCAUAGCUAAUGUCUGUAGCUACAACAUCUUGAUUAAUGGGUAUUGCAAGAGCAAAAUGAUUGAUGAAGUGAUGA